rnacentral:rRNA from 1 species
UACGUAGGCAGCAAGCGUUGUUCGGAUUUACUGGGCGUAAAGGGUGCGUAGGCGGUCCUAUAAGUAUGGUGUGAAAUCUCCCGGCUUAACUGGGAGGGUGCGCUAUAGACUGUGGGACUAGAGUGUGGGAGAGGAAAGUGGAAUUCCUGGUGUAGCGGUGAAAUGCGUAGAUAUCAGGAGGAACACCGGUGGUGUAAACGGCUUUCUGGACCAUAACUGACGCUGAGGCACGAAAGCGUGGGUAGCAAACAGG